GACGAACGCUGGCGGCGUGCUUAACACAUGCAAGUCGAACGGAAAGGCCCUGCUUUUGUGGGGUGCUCGAGUGGCGAACGGGUGAGUAACACGUGAGUAACCUGCCCUUGACUUUGGGAUAACUUCAGGAAACUGGGGCUAAUACCGGCUAGGAGCUCCUGCUGCAUGGUGGGGGUUGGAAAGUUUCGGCGGUUGGGGAUGGACUCGCGGCUUAUCAGCUUGUUGGUGGGGUAGUGGCUUACCAAGGCUUUGACGGGUAGCCGGCCUGAGAGGGUGACCGGCCACAUUGGGACUGAGAUACGGCCCAGACUCCUACGGGAGGCAGCAGUGGGGAAUAUUGCACAAUGGGCGGAAGCCCGAUGCAGCAACGCCGCGUGCGGGAUGACGGCCUUCGGGUUGUAAACCGCUGUCGCCUGUGACGAAGCGUGAGUGACGGUAAUGGGUAAAGAAGCACCGGCUAACUACGUG
rnacentral:rRNA from 1 species